ACAGCCAUAUUAUAUUGAAACACUGGCUCCCAUACGAUCACUGAAGUUAAGCAAUGUUGAGCUAGGUCAGUAACUAGAUGGGUGACACUUUGGAAUUUCAGGUACUGUAAG